rnacentral:rRNA from 1 species
GGGGGGGGGGGGGGGGGGGGGGAGGGGAGGGGGGGGGGGGGGGGGAGGGCGGGCCGGGGUGGUGGGGGGGGGUGAGGGGGGAACGGGGGAGGGACGCGGGAGUAAGCUGCCCCCGGCGUCGGGAUAACCGCAGGAAAGUGUGGCUAAUACGGGAUAGUCGGGGGCGGGCGCAUGAUGGGUCUGGGAAAGAUAUUGUUUCGGGGGGGGAUGGGGUCGCGGCCUAUCAGCGUGUUGGUGGGGUGAUGGCCUACCAAGCCGGUGACGGGUAGCCGGCCUGGGAGGGUGGACGGUCGCACUGGGAAUGAGACACGGCCCAGACUCCUACGGGAGGCAGCAGUGGGGAAUAGUGCACGAUGGGCGCAAGCCUGAUGCAGCGACGCCGCGUGAGGGAUGGAGGCCUUCGGGUUGUGAACCUCUUUCGCCAGUGAAGCAGGCCUGCCUCGUUUGUGGGUGGGUUGACGGUAGCUGGAUAAGAAGCGCCGGCUAACUACGUG